GAAACACAAUAGGUUGCCUCUACACAAGAUGGAAUAAUCAACUUCACUUUUAUAUGCAGUUUUCUGCACAGUGGCUAACAGGACCCCUCCCAGUCUGUCUGUAUGUCUGGAACGAAAAGGCCUCUCCCCAUCUGUCUGCAAGAAUACCUGCUCACGAGCGGUUGACAGUGGAAAAUGUUAUGCCCUCAUCAUCAUCCUCUUCACAACAACAUGGAAUAUUCCCCAGCUGGAACAGUGGAAGCUGGAUUCCUCAGCAAAGUGAGGAGGAAGUGAUGACGCAGGAAGGUGUCAUCGCUCAGGCUGCUGUCAAAACCCACAGCAGAUGACCCAAGUUUCGCAUGUUUCUUCUACCUCAGCACAGGCUGACAGAAAUAUGUUUUCCACCCUCAGCAGGAGUGAAUCAGAGUAAAAAACGCAAAAGGUUUAAAAUAGUUAUGUGGUGGCGAAACCAUGACGUCCAUUUGGGAAUUACAACAAUGCAAAUGACAUUGCUGUUCUCAGCAGGCUCAGUUAUCCCCACCAAAAAAGCAUUUUUUGUUGUCACUUAACUUACAUAACUUUAAUUAUUCAUUAUUUUAAUGUUAAAGGCCCAGGGUUUAAGAAUGAGUGACUUCUAAUGGUGAGACUCCCUUUAAGUGCAUGAAGGUGUUCUUCAUUUGUGUACAUACUAAUGAGUGAUAUAUUCAAUUUAUGCUAUUAAAACCAUUCUAAAUGUUA